rnacentral:tRNA from 1 species
UUCGCCGUGCGCCGGGUCGUAGCGGUCGACGGCCUUGACCAGGCCGAGGGCCGCCACCUGUUGGAGAUCCUCCAGGUUCUCGCCCCGGUUGCGGAACC